rnacentral:lncRNA from 1 species
ACAUAACAACUCUCUCCAUACAAAUGACACAUCACCAAGUAAUUAUUGAGUGCGAGCAGCUGCCCCCAGUGGGCCUUUAGCUGCCUCGGUCCUACUCCUACGUACCUAAUUCAUAUGGAAGCUAGCUAACAAACCUGUCAAAUGUAAAAACAAAGGGAAGAAGAUGGUUAAAGGUAAUUAUGAAUCUUCACCCCGUGCAAUUCGUUUCAUUAUAGCAUGAAAAGCUAUACUUUAUUCAAGCCUGCCUCAUUACGGGCUGAAAUUAC